UCUUAACAAUUUUCAAGUCUACAAUAUAUUGUUAUUAAUUAUAGUCACCAUGUGUAUAUUAGAUCUCUUGACAUUUUUAUUUUCAGUAUAAUUUUUGAGGGCUCUCAAAAAAAUUCAAGAAAAGGCAAGAAAAUACAUUCAAAGAAUAGGCACAUUUAUAAUUUCACUUUUAGAUAAUGACCAUCUACCAGUAUUAAUUUCUGUAAAGAAUAAAGCAAAAUGAUUUACUCAUUUUUAAACUGCCUGUUAUGUUAAUGUCAUGCUGGAAAUGUGUAUAUCCAUUACCACAACUAACUUCACAAUAGCCUACAAGCUGGCAUUCUUAUUCCUGUUUUACAGAUGAGGAAAACUGAAGCCCAGAAAGUUUAAGAACCUUACUUGGAGGAACCCAGCUGACUGCCUGGGAAUCCAGGAGGGCUGGCUGCUUAGCCCGCACUUAGCUGAGAGUCUCAGACUUCCUGGUUUGGGCACAGCUGAAGAAAAGCCAAAAUGGAAUAUUCCAAAAGUGAGGAAAUGUGCACCUCUCUAACCCCCAGAGUGAGACUGUCAGGAUGCAAAUAUGCCCAGGAGACAUUUAGGCGUCUGAGUCUUGGCUGUGAAGGGUUUGAAAGGUUUAAAGAAACUGUUAACAAAUGGAAGGAAUGGAGAGAGAAGUGGGAAGAAUGAAAGAAACUUACCAAACAGAUUGGGCCCAGAAGCCCUGAAGAGACUUUCGUGAACUGGCCAGCUAUUCCCCAGGAUAAUUGGGUUAGUAUUGAAUUGUUCCUUAUCUUCUGCAUAAUCAUUUGUCAAUACAAGAGGCCGUCCUUGGUGCAACGUGUAUUUCAAAAAAGAGAGAACCACCUCACACCCAUUAGAAUGUAGGAUGCCGAAUAUUUUUUUCAAAAUCACUGGUGAGAUUUUUUUCAAAAUCACUGGGGAAAUUGCAACCUUUGUGUAUUGUUGGUGGGAAUGUAAAAUUUUGGGGCCACUAUAGAGAAUAGUAAAGCAGUUCUUCAAAAAAUUGUGAUUCCACUUAUGGGUAGACUCUCAAAAGAAUUAGAAACAGGGUCU
rnacentral:lncRNA from 1 species